rnacentral:tRNA from 1 species
GGGGUGGUGGCGCAGUUGGCUAGCGAAUAAUCAUGAGGUCGAGAGUUCGAGCCUCUCUCACCCCA